GCCCACAUAGUACAGAGGUAGUACAUCAGAUUGUGGCUUUGAUAACCCAGGUUCGAUUCCUGGUGUGGGCA
rfam:Entamoeba invadens IP1 unplaced genomic scaffold scaff_1105074725785, whole genome shotgun sequence.